UUCUGCGUUGUGCUGCACCAACUAGUGUUACACCAUCCGGGCUAAAAGCGAGCAGCAUAAUUCUGUUGCAGUAAAAGAGCAGAAUUCACAUUGCUGAUAUAAUUUCACAGAAUUUACCCUUUUUUUUUUAAUGCAUGUAUUUCCCCACGCUUUCUGAAUUUCCCGUAGCUCAGCUGACUGCGCUGACUUUCCUCCCACUCACGCGUUCAUACCAAGACAACGCAAGUGAGAGGAGGACAGGUCGGUUUUGCCCUGAUAAUGGUUCCCCAGUGCAGCUUAUACCACUUGGGGAACAAAAUGUGGGGUUUUCAUAGUUCGUAAGUACUUCCCCCAAACCACCUGAAUCUCAAUUUAUCUCAAAUCUGGCUUUUCUCUACAGCCGGUCCCCCAGAGGUGACGCUUUGGAGACAACUCCUGUAGCUCGGUCACAAACCCGCAAUGGCCAACGGCUUUCUGAAGGUGGUGGAGGAGGUGAAUCUUCUUGUACGGAGCAAACCCCAGGAAGGGGCUGGGGCCGGCGCGGUGGGAGCCUGGCUGGGGCAGGUGAUGGGUGUCAGCAGCUUUCGCUGAUCGCUGCUGUUUCGGUGUGUGCUUGAAAUGUCUCAUGCAGCCGUGGCUCUGGCGAGUGGCCUGUGGAAGGGAAACCUGUUUGAUGAUGUAAAGUGAGAUUUUUGGGGUGUGUCCAGGCUUUUCAGGGAAAGGACUGAUGUAGUCAGCACGAACAAGCGCGUUUCGGUCGGUGCUGGCGGUGGCAGGCAGGGCUCUGCCGGCUGCUGCCUUGGAAAUGCCAGAGCCAUUGACGCAUCCGACAGCUGAAGGUUUUGCUGUGGGUCUGUCUUGUACUUUAAGCCAUGACUUUGUGUGAUGGUUUUCCCCCUGGUGAGGUUUGGGGCUGGUACCCAAAGUGAAUGCACUGCCAGCAGCGCUGCAUCCCCCAGUCUAAAUCCUCGUAUCGUGAAGCUGUGUGGCCAAAGGUACCCGAAUUGAGUCUGCCCAGCACAGGGGACGAUGGCAACCGCCUUCGCUCCUAUCCCGACUCACCCACCCAGCUAUUAUGGAUUCUCACAGAUCACUUGGCAUCGGGCCAUGGCACGGUAUUGCCGGGUUUGCAUUAUAACCUCUUAUUACAAAACCCUCAACGUUUCUCCGGAUUGUUUCGCCUGUUAUCAUUUUUCCCACAAUGCGCUUGCAUGAUCCUCUCUCAGACUUAACCACAUGGCAACCACAUCACAUAAUGCAACUUCUGUUCUGAGAUUAUUCAUAUUUUUUUUCCCCUAUUGUUGCUUUGCCAAGUUUGUCUUCUAAUUCUGAGAAGCUGAAUUUAAAAGAGCAGUGUCUCCGGUGCAAGGACAUGCUUAGGAGGCAGCGUGAGCAAAUCAACUCGACAAGUGUGUUCACAGGAGUCAAACGGGGGGGAGCUGUGAAAAAGCAAAACAAAAGCCCCUCCAAAUGUCUAUUUUUAUUUUAUUUCAUUUUCUGGAAUGUCUCAUCACAUGAAAUAACAAUGCAUCCCGGCAAAGAGACUGCAGACAGGCUCCAGUGAGAGGGCAGCUGAGGAAAAGAUUGCUUUAUAAGUAGGUUUUUAUACGCAAUCUAUCACAAAUGCCAGUUCCCAGCAGAAUGGGAUAAACAACAAAAAAAGGGCUGCGCUAUCUGGGAUGUGUGUUUGCACUCAUGCUGCUGGAAGGGAGCAGAGCCUGCGGCCGCGGGCACGCUGCCUGUGUCCCUUGCCGACACGGAGGACGGUGUGCCGCAGAGGGGCUGGGGCACGGGCACUGCACAGGUACCGCUCCGGCUCCAGGUCCUGCUUCCCAGGGAGGAUGCGAAUGGCUUGGGGCUGGUCCAGGGGGGAAGGAGAGCGAGCGGGGCCUGGGCAACAUGACCGAUGAGGGAUAAUGGAAAGAAAUGAGGUUGUUUAGUCUGGAAAAGGGAAGGAGGCAGGAGGGGGGAAGCGUUUUCAGGCCCUUCAGCUGCACGGGGGCUGCGGUAGAGCAGAAGGGGCUGACGCGGUUCCCGUGCCCUGGGACGUCAGGAGCUGCCGCGGCCAAGCCCUGGCCUUGGCGCUGCAAAACCACCACCGUCCAAGCCCCAUCGUUCUGACGAGCACUGGGACAAUGGGGAAGUGCACCAAACCCCCGGCGUUUCUGCCCAGUUUCCCAUCUGUGGCAGCCACCAAGGCACUGCCCACUUCUUGACUUCGUUUCUGAUAAAAAGGAUGGAUUUUCCUUCCAAAUGUUUCCAGUCACUGCCAUACGAAGAGCUUCUGCCAGAUGUAUCGAGCCUCCAAGGAGAGCGGCAGCUUCUACAAAACACCACGGCGAGGCUGGGGGAGAUCAUAUGGUGGAGAACUGGAGGGCAGAGCUGUGCAGCCUGCCCACGAGCCCGGCUUCCCAGGAAAGCGGUGGAAGGGCAUUGAUUUAUGAUCAAAAGGGAAAAAGCAAAGCAGAAUAAAAAGAAUACUUAAGACUUAAAAA